UACGUAGGGUGCAAGCGUUAUCCGGAAUUAUUGGGCGUAAAGAGCUCGUAGGCGGUUUGUCGCGUCUGCCGUGAAAGUCCGGGGCUUAACUCCGGAUCUGCGGUGGGUACGGGUAGACUAGAGUGCAGUAGGGGAGACUGGAAUUCCUGGUGUAGCGGUGAAAUGCGCAGAUAUCAGGAGGAACACCGAUGGCGAAGGCAGGUCUCUGGGCUGUUACUGACGCUGAGGAGCGAAAGCAUGGGGAGCGAACAGG
rnacentral:rRNA from 1 species